rnacentral:misc_RNA from 1 species
GAUGAAGAACGUAGCGAAAUGCGAUACUUGGUGUGAAUUGCAGAAUCCCGUGAACCAUCGAGUCUUUGAACGCAAGUUGCGCCCGAAGCCAUUAGGCCGAGGGCACGCCUGCCUGGGUGUCACACGUCGUUGCCCCCCCAUCUACUCCUUCGGGAUUGCGGGGGGCGGAUGAUGGCCUCCCGUGCGCCUCGUCGCGCGGUUGGCAUAAAUGCCAAGUCCUCGGCGACGCACGCCACGACAAUCGGUGGUUGCGAAACCUCGGUUGCCCGUCGUGUGCGGUCGUCGCGCAUCGANNNNUCGAAAAAAUUGCCGGGCUCCGGCUCGGCUUUCAACGCGACCCCAGGUCAGGCGGGGUUACCCGCUGAAUUUAAGCAUAUCAAUAAGCGGAGGA